rnacentral:lncRNA from 1 species
AAUAGAAUUCAUACACAACACAGUAGAAGAAAUGACAGAAAAGGAGUUUAGAAGAUACAUAAUUAGGCUGAUCUUUGAAAUAAGAAUGGUAUCAGAGAGAAAAUACAGGGAGCAAAAGAUAACUUCAAUAAAGAGGCAGAGAUUGUAAAAAGGAAUCAAGCAGAAAUCUUUGAAGUGAAGGAAACAAAAACCAAAUUAAAAAUUCAGUGGAAAGUAUCACCAACAGACUAGACCACUUAGAAGACAGAACCUCAGGCAAUGAAGACAAGAUAUAUACUCUUGAAAAUAAAGUCAACCAUACAGAGAAGAUGGUAAGAAACUAUGAACAGAACUUCCAAGAAAUAUGGGGUAACAUGAAAAGACCAAAUCUAAGAUUUAUCAGAACAGAUGAAGGCAUGGAGAUACAAACCAAAGGAAUGCACAGUCUUUUCAAAGACAUAAUACCAGAAAAUUUCCCAAAUCUAAAGAAUGAAAUGGAAAAUUAACUACAAGAGAUUUAGAGGACCCCAAAUGUAUAAACUUACAGCAGACUCACACCAAGGAACAGUAUACUGAGAAUAACAUACAGAAUAAGGAUAGAAUUUUAAAGGCUGUGAGAAAAAAAAUAAAUUACAUAUAGGGGGAAACCAAUUCGGAUUUCAGCUGAUUUCAUAAUUCAGACCCUCAAUGCCCGGAAGUCCUGGAAUAUUAUAUAUCAAGCUCUAAAAGAAUAUGGAUGCCAACUGAGAAUUUUAUAUCCAGCUAAAUUAAGCUUCAGAUUUGAAGAUGAAAUAGAAACCUUCCAUGAUAAACAAAAGUUAAAAGAAUUCACCACUAGAAAGCCUGCACUACAAAACAUUCUCGGCAAAAUAUUCCACAAGGAGGAAAUUAAAAAAAAAAAAAAUGAAAACCAACAAAGGGAGGAGCUAUACUAAAGAAAAGGUCAAUCUAAAGAGAAACUAAGUCAAGUCAAAAAAAGCAAAAAUAAGCCAAAAUGACCAGGAAUACAAAUCAUAUAUCAAUAAUAACCCUGAAUGUUAAUGGCCUUAAUUCAUCCAUCAAAAGAUAUAGAUUGGCAGAUUGGAUUUUUAAAAAAAAGACCCAACAAUAUGGUGUCUUCAAGAGACUAACUUCUUAGGAAAAGACACCCAUAUACUUGAAGGACACAGGAAAAACGUCAUUCACAUGGACUGUGUAAAUAAGCCAGGGUUUCCAUCCUCAUAUCAGACAAAGUGUACAUCAAACCAAAGUUAGUCAGAAGGGAUAAAGAAGGACAUUUCAUACUGCUUAAGGGAAUCAUACAUCAACAGGACAUACCAGUUAUAAAUAUUUAUGCCCCAAACAAUGGAGCAUCUAUGUACAUCAAACAAACCUGUCUCAAUUUCAGGAAUCUAAUAGACCACAACACAAUAAUACUGGGUUACUGUAGCACACCCCUUUCACUACUGGAUAGGUCUUCCAAACAAAAACUAAACAAAGAGACUAUAGAACUAAAUAAUAUAAUCAAUGAUUUAGACUUGAUGGACAUAUAUAGAGUAUUUCAUCCAUCAUCAAGUGAAUAAACCUUCUUCUCAGCAGCAGAUGGAUCCUUCUCUAAAACGGACCAUAUGUUAUGUUACAAAGCAACUCUCAGCAAAUACAAAAAAAAAAAAAAAUAGAGACACUACCCUGCAUUCUAUCAGAUCAUAACGGAAUGAAAUUAAAAAUCAAUGAUAAAAAUAGAAGCUACUCCAGCACCUGGAGACUAAAUUAUGCUAUUGAAUGAACAAUGAAUAACAGAAGACAUCAGGGAAGAGAUUAAAAAAUUCUUAGAGGUAAAUGAGAACACCAAUGGGACACUAUGAAGGCAGUGCCAAGAGGAAAGUUCAUUUCAUUGAGUUCAUUCAUUGAAAGAAUAAAAAGUCAACAAAUAAAUGACUAAUAUUACAUCUCAAAGCCCUAGAAAAAGAAGAAAAAGUCAACACCAAAAGUAGUAGAAGACAGGAAAGAAUUAAAAUCAGAGUUGAAAUCAAUGAAAUGGAAACAAAAGAAACAAUUGAAAAAAUUGACAAAACUUAAAGUUGGUUCUUUGAAAAAACAAGUAAAAUUGAUAAAUGCUUAGCCCUACCAACAAAAAGUAGUAGAGAGAAAACUCAAAUUACUAAAAUUCAUGAUGAAAAAGGAAAUAUCAAGACAGACACUAUUGAAAUAUAGAAGAUAAUUAGAAAAUAUUUUGAAAAUUUAUACUCAAAAAAAAAAAAAAAGAAAAUCUCAAAGACUCAACAACUUUCUAGAGACAUAUGACCUACCCAAACUAAAUCAGAAGGACAUACACAAUUUAAACAGAUCAGUUUCAAGCAAUGAAACAGAAGAUGCCAUCAAAAGCCUACCAAAUAAGAAAAGCCCAGGACCAGAUGGAUUUUCAGUCCAGUUCUACAAGACUUUCAAGGAAAACUAAUACCAAAACUCCUCAAAUUAUUCCAUGAAAUACAAAAGGAGGGAAUCCUUCCAAACUCAUUUUAUGAGGCUAGUAUCACUAUGAUCCCAAAACCAGACAAAGAUAUCUCAAGGAAAGGAAACUUCAGACCAAUAUCCCUGAUGAACAGAGUUGCAAAAAUUCUCAAUAAAAUUUUGGCAGAUCAUAUUAAAAAACUUAUUAAAAAGAUAGUGCACCAUGAUUAAGUGGAGUUUAUCCCAGGGAUGCAAAGUGGGUUCAACAUAUGGAAAUCAAUAAAUGUAAUACAUCACAUCAACAGACUUAGUGACAAGAAUCAUGAUUAUUUCAAUAGAUGCAAAGAAAGCAUUUGACAAAAUAUAGCACCUCUUCAUGUUCAAAACACUAGAAAAACUGGGGAUAGUAGGAAUAUACUUCAACAUUGUAAAAGCUAUCUAUGCUAAGCCCAAGGCCAACAUCAUUCUAACUAGAGAAAAAUUUAAAGCAUUCCGUCUGAAAGCUGAACAAGAUAGGGAUUCCCCCUUUCACCACUUCUAUUCAACAUAGUCCUUGAAACUCUAGCCAGAACAAUAAGACUGAUGAAAGAAAUUAAAGGGAAAUAAAUAGGAAAAGAAGAACUCAAACUAUCUCUAUUUGCCAGUGACAUGAUUCUAUAUUUAGAGAAUCCAAAAAAUUCCUCCAGAAAACUUCUAGAACUAAUAAAUGAAUUCAGCAAAGUAGGAGAAUAUAAAUCAAUACCCAUAAAUAAAAUUCAUUUCUAUGCAUAAGGGAUAAAUCCAUUGAAAGAGAAAUUAAGAAAACUACCCCAUUCACAAUAGCCUCAAAAAAUACUUGGGAAUCAAUUUAACAAAAGAAGUGAAAGACCUCUACAAUGAAAACUACAGAAGAUUAAAGAAAGAAAUUGAAGAAGACCUUAGAAAAUGGAAAGAUCUCCCAUGCUCUUGGAUAGGUAGAAUUAAUGGUCACACUAAUGGCAAAAUGGCCAUGCUACCAAAACUGUUAUACAGAUUUCAUGCAAUUCCAAUUAAAAUCCCAACAACAUUCUUCAUAGAAAUAGAAAAAGUAAUUAUAAAAUACAUUUAGAAAAAUAAGAGACCCAGAAUAGCCAAAGCAAUCUUUAGCAAGAAAAGUGAAGCAGGGGGCGUCACAAUAUCCUAAACUAUACUACAGAAUAAUGGUAACAAAAACAGCAUGGUAUUGGCACCAAAAUAGACAUAUAGACCAAUGGCACAAAAUAGAAGACACAGAGAGACAAACCCACAAAAUAUAGUCAUCUUACAUUAGACAAAGGUGCCAAGAAUACACAUUGGAGAAAAAAGAUAGCCUAUUCAACAAAUGGUUGGAUAUUGGUUCUUUGAUUUGGGUUUGUUAUUUUGUCCUAUUUGUGUUUUUAAUUUGGAUUUGUUGUUUUGGUCUGUU